rnacentral:rRNA from 1 species
UACGAAGGGGGCUAGCGUUGCUCGGAAUCACUGGGCGUAAAGCGCACGUAGGCGGCUUGUUAAGUCAGGGGUGAAAUCCUGGAGCUCAACUCCAGAACUGCCUUUGAUACUGGCGAGCUCGAGUCCGGGAGAGGUGAGUGGAACUGCGAGUGUAGAGGUGAAAUUCGUAGAUAUUCGCAAGAACACCAGUGGCGAAGGCGGCUCACUGGCCCGAUACUGACGCUGAGGCGCGAAAGCGUGGGGAGCAAACAGG